ACGCGUUGGGAGCUCUCCCAUAUGGUCGACCUGCAGGCGGCCGCGAAUUCACUAGUGAUUCGUAUUACCGCGGCUGCUGGCACAGAGUUAGCCGGUGCUUAUUCUGUCGGUAACGUCAAAACACUAACGUAUUAGGUUAAUGCCCUUCCUCCCAACUUAAAGUGCUUUACAAUCCGAAGACCUUCUUCACACACGCGGCAUGGCUGGAUCAGGCUUUCGCCCAUUGUCCAAUAUUCCCCACUGCUGCCUCCCGUAGGAGUCUGGACCGUGUCUCAGUUCCAGUGUGACUGAUCAUCCUCUCAGACCAGUUACGGAUCGUCGCCUUGGUGAGCCAUUACCCCACCAACUAGCUAAUCCGACCUAGGCUCAUCUGAUAGCGCAAGGCCCGAAGGUCCCCUGCUUUCUCCCGUAGGACGUAUGCGGUAUUAGCGUCCGUUUCCGAGCGUUAUCCCCCACUACCAGGCAGAUUCCUAGGCAUUACUCACCCGUCCGCCGCUCUCAAGAGGUGCAAGCACCUCUCUACCGCUCGACUUGCAUGUGUUAGGCCUGCCGCCAGCGUUCAAUCUGAGCCAUGAUCAAACUCUAAUCGAAUUCCCGCGGCC
rnacentral:rRNA from 1 species